rnacentral:rRNA from 1 species
UACGUAGGGUGCAAGCGUUAUUCGGAAUUACUGGGCGUAAAGGGUGCGCAGGCGGCGUCGCAAGUCAGGCGUGAAAUCCCCGGGCUUAACCUGGGAACUGCACUUGAAACUACGAUGCUGGAGUAUGGCAGAGGGAGGUGGAAUUCCACGUGUAGCGGUGAAAUGCGUAGAGAUGUGGAGGAACACCGAUGGCGAAGGCAGCCUCCUGGGCCAAUUCUGACGCUCAGGCACGAAAGCGUGGGGAGCAAACAGG